AGACGUCUACGAGUUUGAUCCUGGCUUAGAACGAACGCUGGCGGCAGGCCUAACACAUGCAAGUCGAGCGAACCCUUCGGGGUUAGCGGCGGACGGGUUAGUAACGCGUGGGAAUAUACCCUUUGGUACGGAAUAGCCUCGGGAAACUGAGAGUAAUACCGUAUGUGCCCUUCGGGGGAAAGAUUUAUCGCCAAAGGAUUAGCCCGCGUUGGAUUAGGUAGUUGGUGGGGUAAUGGCCUACCAAGCCUACGAUCCAUAGCUGGUUUGAGAGGAUGAUCAGCAACACUGGGACUGAGACACGGCCCAGACUCCUACGGGAGGCAGCAGUGGGGAAUCUUAGACAAUGGGCGCAAGCCUGAUCUAGCCAUGCCGCGUGGACGAUGAAGGCCUUAGGGUUGUAAAGUCCUUUCAGAUGGGAAGAUAAUGACGGUACCAUCAGAAGAAGCCCCGGCUAACUCCGUG
rnacentral:rRNA from 1 species